CAUCAGAAAGUUACAUUUGGCCCAGGUAUUGGCAGGUUUUCUGUCAGGUAGCUUUCUGCUGUUUUUCUACAUGCUUCACUAGGCUUUUCAUUGAACAAUAAUAAGAUGAAAAAACAGUAGAAAUAUCAGAUUAUGAAGAAUUGCAAAUUAUCCCUGCAAAGCUUUGAACUGCCAACAAUAAUGAGGAACUUUCAUCAUUGCAGAACCAAGUUGAAAAUUCUGAGUGAAGAAGGUGGAUAAAUGCUGGCUGCGCUCACUCACGAGAUCCAUUGUGGUGUCACCUGGAUGAUCUGUUGGUAGCCCCUCUAAAUUUUCUAAGUUCUUUAAUUAAAUCAUAUCACCUUCCAGUUGUCCCUUGGAUUACAUCAGUGGCAUAGAGAGGGGGGAUCCUGCUGCUGGGCAUCAGCUGUUUCCUCAAAUUCACUUGCCCAGAUCUGCACCCUGGAGAACAUAGGCUCUCAAGAAAAUACAUGCCUGUGUUACCAGACUGAUAUCUGCAUACUGCUGCUCAGAGUGUGGAAAGGAGUGGAACUCCUGGAUUGGAUUGUAUGGCCACAGAACACACUGCAUGAAUCAGUCCAAUGGAGGCACAAACCCAUGAUCCAAUGGGAUCGAAUGAUGCCUACAUCAUCAUCCAUGUCAUUUGCGUAAGAAUGUUUUUGUAAAAAAAGUUUCAAAAGAUUAGAAUGCAUCUCAUGUCUCAGAAGCUGUUCAACAUUUUGUAAAUAUGUGUGUAGUGUGUUUAGAAUAUAAUAUUGCUAAAUCAACUGCUUCUCCUGUAAAAUCAAUACAAAGACCCUGGAAUACA